UACGUAGGGUGCGAGCGUUAAUCGGAAUUACUGGGCGUAAAGCGUGCGCAGGCGGUUCGUUGUGUCGGCGGUGAAAGCCCCGGGCUCAACCUGGGAAUGGCCGUUGAAACUGGCGAACUGGAGUGUGGCAGAGGGGGGUGGAAUUCCGCGUGUAGCAGUGAAUGCGUAGAGAUGCGGAGGAACACCGAUGGCGAAGGCAGCCCCCUGGGCUGACACUGACGCUCAGGCACGAAAGCGUGGGGAGCAAACAGG
rnacentral:rRNA from 1 species